rnacentral:rRNA from 1 species
UACGUAGGGACCAAGCGUUGUCCGGAAUCAUUGGGCGUAAAGAGCGUGUAGGCGGCUUGUUAAGUCUUGCGUGAAAUCUCGGGGCUCAACCCCGAGCGGUCGUGAGAAACUGGCAGGCUAGAGUGCGGGAGAGGAGAGUGGAAUUCCUGGUGUAGCGGUGAAAUGCGUAGAUAUCAGGAGGAAUACCGGUGGCGAAAGCGACUCUCUGGACGGCAACUGACGCUGAGGCACGAAAGCGUGGGGAGCAAACAGG